UUAUGAUUUGGAUUGUCGUCAACAGGAGCUGUCCGUGGUGCUGAAGUCCUCAUCAUCAUCAUCUCUGCAUUUCUGAUCACAUGUCCUCACCUGUGGCAGCAAUCUCAGUGACCUUUGACCUUUUACUAAAACUGCUCUAUUAACCAAUUUAAAAAAAAAAAAAAAAAGAUAACCACUGGUGACCUGGUAGAAGCCUCUCAGGUACUUGACAUGUUCCAAGGUUUAAGACAAGGUUUAAAAUGUGGCUCCUCACAGAAUGGAGGAAUCAAUUGUCCUCAGGCUUUUGUUUAGGAUUCUUUUUUAAUCUUAUUAUAAGAUCUUCUUAUCACAAUCAGGUUUUACAUUGUAUUUAAUGUGCAAAUUACUUCCAGAUAUAGAGAUAGAAAAAUGAAUAAUUAUAUAUACAGUAUAUAUAAAUGGCUCAAACCUCGGCAGGGUUUCAGCACCAUGGACAGCUCCUAGUCCACUCAAUCUGUUUGAGCUCUUUGUCUCUUUCAUUUUAACUUUUUCAGUACAUACAAUAUCUGCAUUACAUGUGUUCAUUGUUUAACUUUAUAACUUUCUAAAACUACUUCAGAAUGUUAAUUUUUUAUUUUUUUUAGAAAACCUUUACUAGCGCAACAAUGAACAACUGUCGCUCAGCUCGUCUCAACUUCAGUCCAUGAAGACACAAUAACUGGCUGAAGACAUGAUGACUUUACUUCAUGAAGGUUAACCCUUAGAAUACAGAGCAUUUCAGCUGUUUGUUUACAUUACUAUGUUUAAACAUACAGUAUAUACAGAGGCUAUAAGAAUGAGCAAUAUAGAGUGUCAUAUCCUUUGUUUCAGCACAAUCUAGGCAAUCUAAUAAAAAAUGUUUUAUAAACACACAAAAAUCCAAAAUCAGAUUGAAUUUGUAAAAUUUGGAAAUACGUCACUGUUCAAAGUUCACUUGACUCAUUUUUAUGAACAUUUUGUGACUUUAAUGCUACUUUAUGUCACUACUAAAAAUGCGAUAUGAAAUGAAUCAUAACGGGGAAAAACGCAGUGUUUUAAAGCCUGAAUAUGUGUCCUAUAAACACACACACCCCCAUGAUAAGGAUUGUGUAUUAUUCCCAUUAGCCAUGGGUGCACCUGUGGCACAGAUCUGUGCUGCUGGAGCUCUAAGUGUUUACCUGAUAACAACAUGGGGUUAAGUGCUGCCCAGGGACACAUUGGCAUGUGGACUAGCAGAGCCAGAAAUUAAACCCACAACCUUGGACUUGAAAGACUCGCUCUACCACUGAGCUACCGUUGCCCCGUGCUCUGAAUCACUGCUGUCACUUCCUGGGGAUGUCAGCUGUUCAUCAGGUCAUUCUUCAUCUUGAAAGUCAUCAACACCAUUGCCAGAGUCUGGACUCCAACGGACAUUUUACCGACCGAUUUAUGCUGCUCAGGCAGAUGCCUGCACUCGCAACUUCUUCAAACUGACUCCAACUACCAAAGACUCUAUAAAGACUUUAUCAUCACAUUUAGAGAUUACUUUUUUUUCUUUAAGAAUUCCUCGACAUUUUCAAACCUGUUGUCAUAAUCCACAGUCAUAAAUGGGAGGCAGCACAGGUUUUACAUUGACAAAGAACACAUAUGUCACUUGCAUAUGCUCCGGUGUCUGUAAUCAUCAGCAUUCUGCAGUGGCGUGUCUUCAUAAAUCCAAAUAGAGGAUGAAAGGUGAAUUGUUGUGGGCCAGCACCUUGUGAGGUAUUUUAUUUUAUGACUCUUAGUCAAAGUUAAUCACAUUUUUUAGACAUGGCAGCCUUCUUCAUAAACAAAGGCACAAAGACGACGCUCCAUCUGUUUCAGUUUGUGUGCGUGUGAG